GGGAUGGCUCCGCGGCCCAUCAGGUAGACGGCGGGGUGACGGCCCACCGUGCCGACAACGGGUAGCCGGGUUGAGAGACCGACCGGCCAGAUUGGGACUGAGACACGGCCCAGACUCCUACGGGAGGCAGCAGUGGGGAAUCUUGCGCAAUGGGGGGAACCCUGACGCAGCGACGCCGCGUGCGGGACGGAGGCCUUCGGGUCGUAAACCGCUUUCAGCAGGGAAGAGUCAAGACUGUACCUGCAGAAGAAGCCCCGGCUAACUACGUGCCAGCAGCCGCGGUAAUACGUAGGGGGCGAGCGUUAUCCGGAUUCAUUGGGCGUAAAGCGCGCGUAGGCGGCCCGGCAGGCCGGGGGUCGAAGCGGGGGGCUCAACCCCCCGAAGCCCCCGGAACCUCCGCGGCUUGGGUCCGGUAGGGGAGGGUGGAACACCCGGUGUAGCGGUGGAAUGCGCAGAUAUCGGGUGGAACACCGGUGGCGAAGGCGGCCCUCUGGGCCGAGACCGACGCUGAGGCGCGAAAGCUGGGGGAGCGAACAGGAUUAGAUACCCUGGUAGUCCCAGCCGUAAACGAAGGACGCUAGGUGUGGGGGGACGAUCUCCCCGUGCC
rnacentral:rRNA from 1 species